rnacentral:rRNA from 1 species
AACGAACGCUGGCGGCAGGCUUAACACAUGCAAGUCGAACGCCCCGCAAGGGGAGUGGCAGACGGGUGAGUAACGCGUGGGAACGUGCCCUUCGCUUCGGAAUAGCCCCGGGAAACUGGGAGUAAUACCGAAUACGCCGUAUUGGGAAAGAUUUAUCGGCGAAGGAUCGGCCCGCGUUAGAUUAGCUAGUUAGCGGUGUAAUGGACCACCAAGGCUACGAUCUAUAGCUGGUCUGAGAGGAUGAUCAGCCACACUGGGACUGAGACACGGCCCAGACUCCUACGGGAGGCAGCAGUGGGGAAUCUUGGACAAUGGGCGCAAGCCUGAUCCAGCCAUGCCGCGUGAGUGAAGAAGGCCUUAGGGUUGUAAAACUCUUUCGCCGGAGAAGAUAAUGACGGUAUCCGGAGAAGAAGCCCCGGCUAACUUCGUGCCAGCCGCCGCGGUAACAC